rnacentral:rRNA from 1 species
AUACACUCAUCCAAGCGUAAUGUGAUCGAGAGAGCGUUUGGCGUGUGGAAAAUGAAGUGGCAGAUUCUACUAAAGAUGCCCAAUUAUUCAGUUGAAACUCAAAAGAUGAUAGUGGCUGCAACUAUGAUCAUUCACAACUAUGUUUGAUAUCAUGAUAAGGGCGAUCUUCACUUUCUUUGAGUCGACAGAGAUCCCAACUAUGUCCCAACUAUACCUUCAAGGUAUCAAUGGUACACCAUCCAUCCAAAUGCGUCAGACGCGUCAACUUCAGAGGCUAGUGAUAAAGACAUGGACCGGUUCCGUAAUAGACUAGCAUCUGAUAUUGCUCUUGGUUGGUGA